AACGCUUUGGCCGAGUGGUUAAGGCUUGUGCCUGCUAAGUACAUGGUGUUUCCCCGCAAGAGUUCGAAUCUCUCAAGUGUUG
rfam:Helianthus annuus linkage group 8, whole genome shotgun sequence.